rnacentral:rRNA from 1 species
AGUGAACGCUGGCGGUAGGCCUAACACAUGCAAGUCGAACGGCAGCACAGUAAGAGCUUGCCCUUACGGGUGGCGAGUGGCGAACGGGUGAGGAAUACAUCGGAAUCUACUUUUUCGUGGGGGAUAACGUAGGGAAACUUACGCUAAUACCGCAUACGACCUACGGGUGAAAGCAGGGGAUCUUCGGACCUUGCGCGAUUGAAUGAGCCGAUGUCGGAUUAGCUAGUUGGCGGGGUAAAGGCCCACCAAGGCGACGAUCCGUAGCUGGUCUGAGAGGAUGAUCAGCCACACUGGAACUGAGACACGGUCCAGACUCCUACGGGAGGCAGCAGUGGGGAAUAUUGGACAAUGGGCGCAAGCCUGAUCCAGCCAUACCGCGUGGGUGAAGAAGGCCUUCGGGUUGUAAAGCCCUUUUGUUGGGAAAGAAAAGCAGCAGGUUAAUACCCCGCUGUUCUGACGGUACCCAAAGAAUAAGCACCGGCUAACUUCGUG